rnacentral:rRNA from 1 species
UACGGAGGGGGCAAGCGUUAUUCGGAAUUAUUGGGCGUAAAGGGCGCGUAGGCGGCUAGAUGUGUCAAAGGUGAAAUCCCUCGGCUCAACUGAGGAACUGCCUUUGAAACUGUCUGGCUUGAGGCCGGGAGAGGGUAGCGGAAUUCCCAGUGUAGCGGUGAAAUGCGUAGAGAUCGGGAGGAACAUCAGUUGCGAAGGCGGCUCUCUGGACCAGUACUGACGCUGAGGCACGAAAGCGUGGGGAGCAAACAGG